UACGUAGGGGGCUAGCGUUGUCCGGAAUCAUUGGGCGUAAAGCGCGUGUAGGCGGUCCGGUAAGUCCGCUGUGAAAGUCGGGGGCUCAACCCUCGGAUGCCGGUGGAUACUGUCGGGCUUGAGUACGGAAGAGGCGAGUGGAAUUCCUGGUGUAGCGGUGAAAUGCGCAGAGUAUCAAGGAGGAACACCAAUUGCGAAGGCGGCUCGCUGGGACGUUACUGACGCUGAGACGCGA
rnacentral:rRNA from 1 species